UACGAAAGGGGCUAGCGUUGCUCGGAAUUACUGGGCGUAAAGCGCGCGUAGGCGGGCUAGCAAGUUGGGGGUGAAAUCCCGGGGCUCAACCUCGGAACUGCCUCCAAAACUGCUAGCCUAGAGGAUGUGAGAGGAUAGUGGAAUUCCGAGUGUAGAGGUGAAAUUCGUAGAUAUUCGGAAGAACACCAGUGGUGAAGGCGACUGUCUGGCGCAUUUCUGACGCUGAGGUGCGCAAGCGUGGGGAGCAAACAGG
rnacentral:rRNA from 1 species